rnacentral:rRNA from 1 species
CCUACGGGCGGCAGCAGUGGGGAAUCUUCGGCAAUGGAGGAAACUCUGAUGCAGCGACGCCGCGUGAGUGAAGAAGUAUUUCGGUUUGUAAAGCUCUAUCAGCAGGGAAGAAAAUGACGGUAACUGACUAAGCAGCCCCUGAUAACUACGUGCCAGCAGCCGCGGUAAUACGUAGGGGGCAAGCGUUAUCCGGAUUUAAUGGGUGUAAAGGGAGCGUAGACGGUGUUGCAAGUCUGAAGUGAAAGCCGCGGGCUCAACUCCGGGGCUGCGUUUGAAACUGUGAGACUGGAGUGCAGGAGAGGAAAGUGGAAUUCCAUGUGUAGCGGUGAAAUGCGUAGAUAUCAGGAGGAACACCAGUGGCGAAGGCGGCUUACUGGACUGUAACUGACGUUGAGGCUCGAAAGCGUGGGGAGCAAACAGGAUUAGAUACCCGAGUAGUC